rnacentral:ribozyme from 1 species
UGCCCAGCAACUCCUAUCCCUACCACCUCGUGGUACUGGCCGGGGUACGAGUAACCUUGGGGAAGAUUGGGUAACCAACCCCGGUGGGAGCUUUGGUCGUAUGCUGACAGGGAAGG